rnacentral:rRNA from 1 species
UUCUUUAUUUUUUUUAAUAUAAAGUAUAGCCUGCCCUAUGAAUUUUUAAAUGGCCGCGAUAUUUAUCGUGCUAAGGUAGCAUAAUAAUUUGUCCUUUAAUUGAGGUCUGGUAUGAAGGGUUUAACGAGGAAUUAACUAUUUUAAUUAAAUUUUUUUGAAUUUUAUUUUUUGGUUAAAAAGCUAAAAUUUAUUUAUGGGACGAUAAGACCCUAUAGAAUUUUAUUAUAAUAAUUAUUUUAUUAAUUGGUUAUUUUUGUAAUAAAUAUAAUAUUUAUAAUUUGGUUGGGGUGAUUGUUAUAUAUAAAUAACUAUAAUUUAAAUAAAUUCAUUAAUGUAUGAUUUAUUGAUCCUUAGAUUUUGGAUUAUAAGAAUAAAUUACCUUAGGGAUAACAGCGUUAUUUUCUUGGAGAGUUCUUAUCUAUAAGAAAGUUUGCGA